UGGGGAAUUUUGGACAAUGGGCGCAAGCCUGAUCCAGCAAUGCCGCGUGCAGGAUGAAGGCCUUCGGGUUGUAAACUGCUUUUGUACGGAACGAAAAAGCUCUCUCUAAUACAGGGGGUGAAUGACGGUACCGUAAGAAUAAGCACCGGCUAACUACGUGCCAGCAGCCGCGGUAAUACGUAGGGUGCAAGCGUUAAUCGGAAUUACUGGGCGUAAAGCGUGCGCAGGCGGUUUUGUAAGACAGAGGUGAAAUCCCCGGGCUCAACCUGGGAACUGCCUGUAUGACGGCAAAGCUGGAGUGGGGCAGAGGGGGAUGGAAUUCUGCGUGUAGCAGUGAAAUGCGUAGAUAUGCGGAGGAACACCGAUGGCGAAGGCAAUCCCCUGGGCCUGCACUGACGCUCAUGCACGAAAGCGUGGGGAGCAAACA
rnacentral:rRNA from 1 species